rnacentral:rRNA from 1 species
CCUCAGUAACGGCGAGUGAAGCGGCAAGAGCUCAAAUUUGAAAUCUGGUACCUUCGGUGCCCGAGUUGUAAUUUGAAGAUUGUACUCUGGAGUUGGCCCUUGUCUAUGUUCCUUGGAACAGGACGUCACAGAGGGUGAGAAUCCCGUGCGAUGGGGAGUCCAGCUCCAUGUAGAGUGCUCUCGAAGAGUCGAGUUGUUUGGGAAUGCAGCUCUAAGUGGGUGGUAAAUUCCAUCUAAAGCUAAAUAUUGGCGAGAGACCGAUAGCGAACAAGUACAGUGAUGGAAAGAUGAAAAGAACUUUGAAAAGAGAGUGAAAAAGUACGUGAAAUUGUUGAAAGGGAAGGUUAUUAGAUCAGACUUGGCGUUGGACGAUAUUCUGCCCCUUGUGGGCAGUUCACUCGUCCGUCGCUGGGCCAGCAUCGGUUUGGGUGGCAGGAUAAUGGCUGUUGAACGUGGCUCCCCUCGGGGAGUGUUAUAGCUUCAGCUGAUACUGCCU